rnacentral:rRNA from 1 species
GACGAACGCUGGCGGCGUGCUUAACACAUGCAAGUCGAACGGAGAGGCCCUGCUUUUGUGGGGUGCUCGAGUGGCGAACGGGUGAGUAACACGUGAGUAACCUGCCCUUGACUUUGGGAUAACUUCAGGAAACUGGGGCUAAUACCGGAUAGGAGCUCCUGCUGCAUGGUGGGGGUUGGAAAGUUUCGGCGGUUGGGGAUGGACUCGCGGCUUAUCAGCUUGUUGGUGGGGUAGUGGCUUACCAAGGCUUUGACGGGUAGCCGGCCUGAGAGGGUGACCGGCCACAUUGGGACUGAGAUACGGCCCAGACUCCUACGGGAGGCAGCAGUGGGGAAUAUUGCACAAUGGGCGGAAGCCUGAUGCAGCAACGCCGCGUGCGGGAUGACGGCCUUCGGGUUGUAAACCGCUUUCGCCUGUGACGAAGCGUGAGUGACGGUAACGGGUAAAGAAGCACCGGCUAACUACGUG